UACGUAGGGUGCAAGCGUUGCCCGGAUUUAUUGGGCGUAAAGGGCGCGUAGGCGGCGCGGUAAGUCACUUGUGAAAUCUCUGAGCUUAACUCAGAACGGCCAAGUGAUACUGCAGUGCUAGAGUGUGGAAGGGGCAAUCGGAAUUCUUGGUGUAGCGGUGAAAUGCGUAGAUAUCAAGAGGAACACCUGAGGUGAAGACGGGUUGCUGGGCCAACACUGACGCUGAGGCGCGAAAGCCAGGGGAGCAAACGGG
rnacentral:rRNA from 1 species